UAAGUACUCCCUCCGUCCGAAAAUACUUGUCAUCAAAAUGGAUAAAAAAAUAUAUUUAAAACUAGAAUACGUCUAAAUACAUCUUCUUUUAUUCAUUUUGAUGACAAGUAUUUCUGGAUGGAGAGAGUAGUUU
rfam:Triticum aestivum genome assembly, contig: Triticum_aestivum_CS42_TGACv1_scaffold_516368_6BS